AUCAGCUCGUUGGCGGGGUAAUGGCCCACCAAGGCUACGACGGGUAGCUGGUCUGAGAGGACGAUCAGCCACACUGGAACUGAGACACGGUCCAGACUCCUACGGGAGGCAGCAGUGGGGAAUCUUGCGCAAUGGGCGAAAGCCUGACGCAGCAACGCCGCGUGUGUGAUGAAGGUCUUCGGAUCGUAAAGCACUGUCGCGAGGGACGAAUAAGGGGCGGGCGAAUACUCCGCUCCGAUGACGGUACCUCGAAAGGAAGCACCGGCUAACUCUGUGCCAGCAGCCGCGGUAAUACAGAGGGUGCAAGCGUUGUUCGGAAUUAUUGGGCGUAAAGCGCGUGUAGGCGGCCUUGCAAGUUGGGUGUGAAAGCCCUCGGCUUAACCGAGGAAGUGCGCCCAAAACUACGAGGCUUGAGUGCCGGAGAGGGUGGCGGAAUUCCCGGUGUAGAGGUGAAAUUCGUAGAUAUCGGGAGGAACACCAGUGGCGAAGGCGGCCACCUGGACGGUAACUGACGCUGAGACGCGAAAGCGUGGGGAGCAAACAGGAUUAGAUACCCUGGUAGUCCACGCUGU
rnacentral:rRNA from 1 species